UGGGGAAGGUUUCCGCAAUGGGCGAAAGCCUGACGGAGCAAUGCCGCGUGGAGGUGGAAGGCCUACGGGUCGUCAACUUCUUUCUCGGAGAAGAAACAAUGACGGUAUCUGAGGAAUAAGCAUCGGCUAACUCUGUGCCAG
rnacentral:rRNA from 1 species